rnacentral:rRNA from 1 species
GACGAACGCUGGCGGCGUGCUUAACACAUGCAAGUCGAGCGGUAAGGCCCUUUCGGGGGUACACGAGCGGCGAACGGGUGAGUAACACGUGGGUGACCUGCCCUCAGCUCUGGGAUAAGCCCGGGAAACUGGGUCUAAUACCGGAUAUGACUUCAUGACGCAUGUUGUGGAGUGGAAAGCCUUGUGCGGCUGAGGAUGGGCCCGCGGCCUAUCAGCUUGUUGGNGGGGUGAUGGCCUACCAAGGCGACGACGGGUAGCCGGCCUGAGAGGGCGACCGGCCACACUGGGACUGAGAUACGGCCCAGACUCCUACGGGAGGCAGCAGUGGGGAAUCUUGCGCAAUGGGCGAAAGCCUGACGCAGCGACGCCGCGUGAGGGA